rnacentral:tRNA from 1 species
GUAGCUCAGUCGGUAGAGCAACUGAUUCGUAAUCAGUAGGUCCGCGGUUCGAUUCCGCGCAGUGGCUCCA